CGCAGGCGGUUUCNUAAGUCUGAUGUGAAAGCCCCCGGCUCAACCGGGGAGGGUCAUUGGAAACUGGGGAACUUGAGUGCAGAAGAGGAGAGUGGAAUUCCACGUGUAGCGGUGAAAUGCGUAGAGAUGUGGAGGAACACCAGUGGCGAAGGCGACUCUCUGGUCUGUAACUGACGCUGAGGCGCGAAAGCGUGGGGAGCGAACAGGAUUAGAUACCCUGGUAGUCCACGCCGUAAACGAUGAGUGCUAAGUGUUAGAGGGUUUCCGCCCUUUAGUGCUGCAGCAAACGCAUUAAGCACUCCGCCUGGGGAGUACGGUCGCAAGACUGAAACUCAAAGGAAUUGACGGGGGCCCGCACAAGCGGUGGAGCAUGUGGUUUAAUUCGAAGCANCGCGAAGAACCUUACCAGGUCUUGACAUCCUCUGACAACCCUAGAGAUAGGGCUUCCCCUUCGGGGGCAGAGUGACAGGUGGUGCAUGGUUGUCGUCAGCUCGUGUCGUGAGAUGUUGGGUUAAGUCCCGCAACGAGCGCNACCCUUGAUCUUAGUUGCCAGCAUUCAGUUGGGCACUCUAAGGUGACUGCCGGUGACAAACCGGAGGAAGGUGGGGAUGACGUCAAAUCAUCAUGCCCCCUUAUGACCUGGGCUACA
rnacentral:rRNA from 1 species